GCACAGCAGUGUAACAGCUCUGCUGUGGCACAGUAACACCAGCGUGAGCAGCGUGACUCAGCCCAGGCGCUCCACACGGGCUGAGUGCUUGCAGCACGGCUGUUACACACGGGCCAUCUGCUCCAGCCUGCACCUGCCAGUGCCCCAGAGCAGGGGUGGUUUCUACUUUAGGGGAGCUGGCAGUGAUGCUCUUUUCUUGCUAGUCCCAGCCUUUUAGCUGGGAGUGGAAUUGCUGGGCUUAAGUGCCAGCUGGGCUGUGCUGGGGCUCUGCAUUCCAGGCCUGGCUCUGGCUGGGUCAAUACUGUGGCUCCAAGGAAAUGUGCAGCCAUGUGGGGCUGGGCUAGUCAAGCCCCUCUGUGCACAGGGCCCUCAGACAAAGCAAGAGGCAGAGAAACUGGAUCCUGAACCCCAGCUGCAGUACAGGAGGCUGCUGAUCCAAACCUCAGGUGAAAUGCUUUUGCAGCCUGAGUUUCAUCUGGGAAACCCCCAUUCCAGUCAUGUAUCCAGGGGCUGUGGUACUGCUGGAAAUCCAUCUCUGGUGGGAUGGGGAGGCCCUGCCAGGGCUGGAGGGAUGGUGUGCCCUGGAGCUGACACACACCAGUACAAAGUGGGCUUGGUGCCUCCUUGGAUGUGUCUCUGCAGCAGGGGUCCUGCUUCAGGCUGAGGAAGAGGAGCUGUUGCUCGCAUCUUCAGGAACUAGGCAGUGAAACAGAGCAGUCUUUCCCCUCAGUCAUCUUCCUUGUAGCACUGGGCCCCUGGAAAACACAAGCUGCCUAAAUUUGAGCAGUGCUUCCCUCUACACAGCUAAGAGCAGGGAGAGGUUUGGUCAUGGAGCUGUGUCCCACUUCCCUCCCCUCCCACUGCCCAGCAGCUGACAAGGCUCUUGGCUUUGACUUUUUCCAUUGCUGGGCUCCACUUUGUCUCCAGUUUCCACCAGGCACAGGUGUCCUGGAUGAGGCCUCCGAGCAUUAACUGUUUCCAUGCUGGAGAAACCAAUGGCAUUCCCAGGACAGCUGCUCCAUUUCAAGCUAUUUGGAAACAUCUGGAUCUGGGACACGGGAGUGGAAGAUGUUGGAAGUGCCUUACAGAAGCAGGGCAGUGUGGCACUGGAGAGCAGAGAGGCUGGGGAGCUGUGCUGUGUGGGUAUCACUGCUAGACACUGCCUGGGAUUCACUCUUCUACAGACCCAGUCCCACACAGCCUCUGGAAUCUGCAGAGCUGGAUGCGUGCUCCCACUGCCUGCCACGCUGCACUCGGGCCCUGGGCAAGAGGUUUUCCCACGUCUUACCCCGGCCAGGGUGAGCAGGGGCUGGAGAAAGGCUUCCCCAGGCUUUGCUGAGCCAGGCCUGUGACCUGCCUCUCCCCGGGGUUUGGUUGCAGGUUUGGGGUGUGAUUCCCGCUGCCUGCCCGGCUGACACGGGGCCAGGCCGGGCCUCGCCGCAGCCUGCACACAGCCGCUGGCGCCCGGCCCAGAACAUGGCUCUGGAAAAAAGAAAUGUCUUUGUUGUUGUUGAGGAAAGCCCAGAACGCUCCGACAAGGACACAACCUCUUCCUAAAGCUGGGUUUCAAAGCCCUGCUUUCUCAGAGGGCUCCAAGUGACCUGGACAAAAGCAUCUGCUUCUCCAUGGGUCAGCCUGGCUGGAGGAAACCCUGACCCACAUUGCAAGGACUCCCUCUGAAACCUCAGCUUGCAGGGGCACCGAGGGAUGGCACCCAUGCAGCCCCCUCCAGAAGGGUGCCCACCCAGGGGUGCUGCUGGGGAGCCCCUGGAGCUUUCCUGGGCUGUCAUUAGCAGAAGAACAGCUUCGGGUGACUCAGCAAGCAGGGCUGGGACACUGCCUCUGUCCUGAGCAAGACUGACACAUGCAGUUCUGCCAGAGCCAGGGCUGGCUAAAGAUACCGUGGUACUUAAAUAUUUUAUAGAAAAUCAUUAAGCAAUUAAAUCUGGUGGAUCUCACAUCAUAGAAAAAGCAGCUUGAAGCCUGUGCAGUAAACAGGGCAACACUUCCUGCUCGGUUGGGAUGUCUUCUUGGAGUCUUAACUACAAUCCUUGCUUCAAAAUAACUAUAAUUAUCUCUUAAUUGCCAUUAUUGUUUAACAUUUUUAGCAUUUGCAAGUGCAAACUGUUACAGUUUUCCACGCAGAUACAAUCAGUAGCCGGGGCUCACAAUGAAAGCAAUUAAAAUCCUGUGAUUAUCACA
rnacentral:lncRNA from 1 species